ACUGGUUGAUCCUGCCAGUAGUCAUAUGCUUGUCUUAAAGAUUAAGCCAUGCAUGUUUAAGUUCAUACCUUUGAAUGGUGAAACCGCGAAUGGCUCAUUAAAUCAGUUAUAAUUUCAUGGGAUGUGUUUUGUUAAUUGGAUAACUGUGGUAAUUCUAGAGCUAAUACAUGCAUAUACGUUCAACUUCGGUUGGAUGUGCUUCUAUUAGUGCAAACCAUGUCGUAAGACUAUAGGUGGUGACUCUGAAUAACUUUGCCGAGCAUUUCGGCCUUGUGUCGGUGCUAUUCCUUCAAAGUAUCUGCUCUAUCAACUGUCGAUGGUAUAUUAUAUGUUUACCAUGGUUGUAACGGGUAACGGGGAAUUAGGGUUCGAUUCCGGAGAGGGAGCCUGAGAAACGGCUACCACAUCUAAGGAAGGCAGCAGGCGCGCAAAUUACCCAAUCCCGGCUCGGGGAGGUAGUGACAAAAAAUAACAAUGCGGGUCUUAAAUGAGGCUUCGUAAUUGGAAUGAGUACAUUCUAAAUCCUUUAACGAGGAACUAUUGGAGGGCAAGUCUGGUGCCAGCAGCCGCGGUAAUUCCAGCUCCAAUAGCGUAUAUUAAAAUUGUUGCAUCUAAAAAGCUCGUAGUUUGAAAACUUGCCUUGACUUGCAAUAGGUCCACAUGGGCCACCGUUUGUCGAGCGCAAAUAUGGAUGACUGUUUUUGCCGGCUUAAUUGUUUGGCUUAUAAGAGUUAUCAAAUAUCACUUUGAUUAAAUUAGAGUGCUUAAAGCAAGUGUAUUACUUGAAUAUAAAUGCAUGGAAUGAUGGAAUAUGUUAUUGUUCUAUUUGUUGGUUUUGGAACGAUGAAAUGAUUGAAAGGAACUGAUGGGGGCAUUCGUAUUGUUGUGAAAGAGGUGAAAUUCUUAGACCACAGCAAGACGAACUACUGCGAAAGCAUUUGCCAAGAAUGUUUUCAUUGAUCAAGAACGAAAGUUAGAGGUUCGAAGGCGAUCAGAUACCGCCCUAGUUCUAACCAUAAACUAUGCCAACUAGCAAUUUGCUUACGUAUGUUUUACGACUAAGUGAGAGGCCACGGGAAAAAAAAACGCCAAUCGAGUAUUGGCGUUUGGAGAUGAUCAAUCUUAGUCAUGAUAGACUAUGAACAAAAAGUGUGUGUUCGGCGGCUCUCACUUAUCGUCGCAGCAUCAAGACUGCUACUUUUUUUCAUAUGGAGAUUCACUUGUAAAAUCCAUGGUGCGCGCCGGCCAUUUUCUUACCAUAAUCCAGGAUUCAUGAUACUUAAGGAGCGCCUCCACAAAUGCUUGACAUGUCAGGGAGCUUCCCAGAUCAAGACUGCUACAACUACAACUACUACCCUAGCUACUAACUAUAACUUCUAGAUAUUCUAUAUAAAGCCGUAACAAAAGACGAGAUAAGGAAAUCGAACGGAACAAUCGCGCGUUAUCAACU
rnacentral:rRNA from 1 species